GUUGUAUGGUAUUUUGAAAAAUUUCAACAUUGCUAAGUUAAACUUAUCGCUUAGGUCGUUAUUCAAUGCAAAUACUAAUCAUACUUUAAAAAAACGGUGAAGUGCGAGUCGGGCCUCACUUUUUUAGGGUUCCGUACAUAAUUACUGUGGCUUUUUUUAAUUAGAUACUCGGUACUUAAUUUCAUGAAACCCAAAAAAAUCGUAGGUGGGCAUUGAUCCGAGUUUUGCAUGCUAUACAACGCGGGUUUGAAAAAUACUAAAUCACUAAAACUACAAGAUAAGGCAAAUGGUUAUUGCCAUUGGAUUGUGUUAAGGUACUUAUUAUACUAAAGUUAU